rnacentral:rRNA from 1 species
UACGGGGGGGGCAAGCGUUGUUCGGAAUUACUGGGCGUAAAGGGCUCGUAGGUGGCCAACUAAGUCAGACGUGAAAUCCCUCGGCUUAACCGGGGAACUGCGUCUGAUACUGGAUGGCUUGAGUUCGGGAGAGGGAUGCGGAAUUCCAGGUGUAGCGGUGAAAUGCGUAGAUAUCUGGAGGAACACCGGUGGCGAAGGCGGCUCUCUGGACGGAUACUGACGCUGAGGCGCGAAAGCGUGGGGAUCAAACAGG